AUAAGCGGAGGAAAAGAAACUAACAAGGAUUCCCCUAGUAACUGCGAGUGAAGCGGGAAAAGCUCAAAUUUAAAAUCUGGCGGUCUUUGGCCGUCCGAGUUGUAAUCUAGAGAAGUGUUAUCCGCGCUGGACCGUGUACAAGUCUCCUGGAAUGGAGCGUCAUAGAGGGUGAGAAUCCCGUCUUUGACACGGACUGCCAGGGCUUUGUGAUGCGCUCUCAAAGAGUCGAGUUGUUUGGGAAUGCAGCUCAAAAUGGGUGGUAAAUUCCAUCUAAAGCUAAAUAUUGGCGAGAGACCGAUAGCGAACAAGUACCGUGAGGGAAAGAUGAAAAGAACUUUGGAAAGAGAGUUAAACAGUACGUGAAAUUGCUGAAAGGGAAACGCUUGAAGUCAGUCGCGUUGGCCGGGGAUCAACCUUGCUUUUGCUGGGCGUACUUUCCGGUCGACGGGUCAGCAUCAAUUUUGAUCGUUGGAUAAAGGUUAGGGGAAUGUGGCAUCUUCGGAUGUGUUAUAGCCCUUGGUCGCAUACAACGGUUGGGAUUGAGGAACUCAGCACGCCGCAAGGCCGGGUACUUGUACCACGUUCGUGCUUAGGAUGCUGGCAUAAUGGCUUUAAUCGACCCGUCUUGAAACACGGACCAAGGAGUCUAACAUGCCUGCGAGUGUUUGGGUGGAAAACCCGAGCGCGUAAUGAAAGUGAAAGUUGAGAUCCCUGUCGUGGGGAGCAUCGACGCCCGGACCAGACCUUUUGUGACGGAUCCGCGGUAGAGCAUGUAUGUUGGGACCCGAAAGAUGGUGAACUAUGCCUGAAUAGGGUGAAGCCAGAGGAAACUCUGGUGGAGGCUCGUAGCGAUUCUGACGUGCAAAUCGAUCGUCAAAUUUGGGUAUAGGGGCGAAAGACUAAUCGAACCAUCUAGUAGCUGGUCCCUGC
rnacentral:rRNA from 1 species